GACGAACGCUGGCGGCGUGCUUAACACAUGCAAGUCGAACGGAAAGGCCCUGCUUGCAGGGGACUCGAGUGGCGAACGGGUGAGUAACACGUGGGUGAUCUGCCCUGCACUUCGGGAUAAGCCUGGGAAACGGGGUCUAAUACCGGAAAGGAGCGAGUUUGAGUGUGAGGGUUGGAAAGUUUUUUCGGUGUAGGAUGAGCGCGCGGCCGAUCAGCUUGUUGGUGGGGUAAUGGCCUACCAAGGCGGCGACGGGUAGCCGGCCUGAGAGGGUGGACGGCCACAUUCGGACUGCGACACGGCCCAGACUCCGACGGGAGGCAGCAGUGGGGAAUAUUGCACAAUGGGCGCACGCCUGAUGCAGCGACGCCGCGUGGGGGAUGACGGCCUUCGGGUUGUAAACUCCUUUCGCUAGGGACGAAGCUUUUUGUGACGUUACCUAGAUAAGAAGCACCGGCUAACUACGUG
rnacentral:rRNA from 1 species